CCUACGGGAGGCAGCAGUGAGGAAUAUUGGUCAAUGGGAGAGAUCCUGAACCAGCCAAGCCGCGUGAGGGAAGACGGCCCUAUGGGUUGUAAACCUCUUUUGUCGGAGAACAAAACCCGGGACGUGUCCCGGACUGCGUGUAUCCGAAGAAAAAGCAUCGGCUAACCCCGUGCCAGCAGCCGCGGUAAUACGGAGGUUGCGAGCGUUAUCCGGAUUUAUUGGGUUUAACGGGUGCGGAGGGGGUGCGUUAAGUCAGCGGUAAAAUUGCGGGGUUCAACCCCGUCGAGCCGUUGAAACUGGGAGACUUGAGUUGGCGAGAGGUACGCGGAAUGCGCGGUGUAGCGGUGAAAUGCAUAGAUAUCGCGAAGAACUCCGGUUGCGAAGGCGGCGUACCGGCGCCAGACUGACGCUGAGGCACGAAAGCGUGGGGAGCGAACAGGAUUAGAUACCCCAGUAGUC
rnacentral:rRNA from 1 species